CCUACGGGAGGCAGCAGUGGGGAAUUUUGGACAAUGGACGCAAGUCUGAUCCAGCCAUGCCGCGUGCGGGAAGAAGGCCUUCGGGUUGUAAACCGCUUUUGUCAGGGAAGAAAAGCUCCGAACUAAUAAUUUGGGGUGAUGACGGUACCUGAAGAAUAAGCACCGGCUAACUACGUG
rnacentral:rRNA from 1 species